AAGCCACCCUACAGGGGGGGGGUGAGAACCCCUGACCGGGGUUCGACAACUGGCGCAGCCAGUUGGACAAACUGCGAACGCAGUGAGCGGGUUGCCCGCAGGGCGAGCAAAGCGAGUCAAUCCCCCCCUCACCGCCA
rnacentral:sRNA from 1 species